rnacentral:rRNA from 1 species
UGGCGGACGGGUGAGUAAUGUCUGGGAAACGGCUCGAUGGAGGGGGAUAACUACUGGAAACGGUAGCUAAUACCGCAUAACGUCGCAAGACCAAAGAGGGGGACCUUAGGGCCUCUUGCCAUCGGAUGUGCCCAGAUGGGAUUAGCUAGUAGGUGGGGUAACGGCUCACCUAGGCGACGAUCCCUAGCUGGUCUGAGAGGAUGACCAGCCACACUGGAACUGAGACACGGUCCAG